UACGGGGGGGGCAAGCGUUGUUCGGAAUUACUGGGCGUAAAGGGCGCGUAGGCGGCCUGCUAAGUCGGACGUGAAAUCCCUCGGCUCAACCGAGGAACUGCGUCCGAUACUGGUGGGCUUGAAUCCGGGAGAGGGAUGUGGAAUUCCAGGUGUAGCGGUGAAAUGCGUAGAUAUCUGGAGGAACACCGGUGGCGAAGGCGGCAUCCUGGACCGGUAUUGACGCUGAGGCGCGAAAGCUAGGGGAGCAAACGGGG
rnacentral:rRNA from 1 species